rnacentral:rRNA from 1 species
GAGCGAACAGAUAAGGAGCUUGCUCCUUUGACGUUAGCGGCGGACGGGUGAGUAACACGUGGGUAACCUACCUAUAAGACUGGAAUAACUCCGGGAAACCGGGGCUAAUGCCGGAUAACAUUUAGAACCGCAUGGUUCUAAAGUGAAAGAUGGUUUUGCUAUCACUUAUAGAUGGACCCGCGCCGUAUUAGCUAGUUGGUAAGGUAAUGGCUUACCAAGGCAACGAUACGUAGCCGACCUGAGAGGGUGAUCGGCCACACUGGAACUGAGACACGGUCCAGACUCCUACGGGAGGCAGCAGUAGGGAAUCUUCCGCAAUGGGCGAAAGCCUGACGGAGCAACGCCGCGUGAGUGAUGAAGGGUUUCGGCUCGUAAAACUCUGUUAUUAGGGAAGAACAAACGUGUAAGUAACUGUGCACGUCUUGACGGUACCUAAUCAGAAAGCCACGGCUAACUACGUGCCAGCAGCCGCGGUAAUACGUAGGUGGCAAGCGUUAUCCGGAAUUAUUGGGCGUAAAGCGCGCGUAGGCGGUUUCUUAAGUCUGAUGUGAAAGCCCACGGCUCAACCGUGGAGGGUCAUUGGAAACUGGGAGACUUGAGUGCAGAAGAGGAAAGUGGAAUUCCAUGUGUAGCGGUGAAAUGCGCAGAGAUAUGGAGGAACACCAGUGGCGAAGGCGACUUUCUGGUCUGUAACUGACGCUGAUGUGCGAAAGCGUGGGGAUCAAACAGGAUUAGAUACCCUGGUAGUCCACGCCGUAAACGAUGAGUGCUAAGUGUUAGGGGGUUUCCGCCCCUUAGUGCUGCAGCUAACGCAUUAAGCACUCCGCCU